rnacentral:rRNA from 1 species
UACGUAGGGUGCAAGCGUUAAUCGGAAUUACUGGGCGUAAAGCGUGCGCAGGCGGUUUUGUAAGUCUGUCGUGAAAUCCCCGGGCUCAACCUGGGAAUUGCGAUGGAGACUGCAAGGCUAGAAUCUGGCAGAGGGGGGUAGAAUUCCACGGUGUAGCAGUGAAAUGCGUAGAGAUGUGGAGGAACACCGAUGGCGAAGGCAGCCCCUGGGUCAAGAUUGACGCUCAUGC